rnacentral:rRNA from 1 species
UACGAAGGGGGCUAGCGUUGCUCGGAAUCACUGGGUUUAAAGGGUGCGUAGGUGGGCAGGUAAGUCAGUGGUGAAAUCUCCGGGCUUAACUCGGAAACUGCCAUUGAUACUAUCUGUCUUGAAUACCGUGGAGGUUAGCGGAAUAUGUCAUGUAGCGGUGAAAUGCUUAGAUAUGACAUAGAACACCAAUUGCGAAGGCAGCUGGCUACACGAAUAUUGACACUGAUGCACGAAAGCGUGGGGAUCAAACAGG